rnacentral:rRNA from 1 species
AGUGAGCGCGAUAAGGGCAUUCGGUGGAUGCCUUGGCACCAGGAGGCGAUGAAGGACGUAGCACGCUGCGAAAAGCUACGGGGAGCCGCGAGCAGGCUUUGAUCCGUAGAUAUCCGAAUGGGGCAACCCACCCGCAAGGGUAUCAUCAUCUGAAUACAUAGGAUGAUGAGGCGAACCCGGGGAACUGAAACAUCUCAGUACCUGGAGGAAAAGACAUCAAUUGAGAUUCUGCUAGUAGUGGCGAGCGAACGCGGAACAGGCCAGUGGUCUUUGGAAGAGAAGCAGAACACUCUGGAAAGGGUGGCCAUAGUGGGUGAUAGUCCCGUAUGCGUAGUGCUUUUAAAGAUCCUUGAGUAGGGCGGGGCACGUGAAACCCUGUCUGAACAUGGGG